CCCCUUUUUGUCAAAAAUUGCCAAAAGAAAGCAUAUAGAUAGGAAAUACACUAAGAAGCAAAAGAGUAGUCAAGUCAUAAUUACAGGCCUAAAGCAAAAACAAAAACAUGCAAAGGUAAGAUAAACAAACCAAGCUAAACUAAAACAUCAUCCUACAAAGCAAACAGAGUGAAGUAAACAGACUAAGCUCGAAGAAGAAAUCACUCCGUGUCCUCAUCAUCAUCAUCAUCAGCUCCAGCUCCAGCUCCAGCUCCAGAACCUCCCGCAUCCGAAGCUCUAAUAAAUGGAGGAAUAAGAGGAUGCCGCGAAGUAGACCUCGUGUAGGCAGGCUGAGUAGCAAAAAUAUCAUCAUGCCUACAUCCCAAUUUUUCCAUCAUCCUCUUCAUGCCCACUUCCACCUUCCUAGCAAGAUCUGCCACUUUCUUCUUCAAAGAUCGCACCUCAUGGUGAAGUGAUUCUACAGUAAUCACUCCCCCUGAACUGGAAGAUCCCUCAUGCUCUGCUCGAGGUGGAGGUGCCGAGCUAGAAGCUGCUCGCGAUGGUCCAUUCGUUUGCUGAAAAGUCUUUAGUGUGCUAACCGACUUGGCCCAGGUAACGGCAUCAAUUGGACCAAGACCAAAAUCAUAUUUCUCGUAAGAAACAUUUACUCCAUUCUCCUGUAGAAUCCUCGUGAUCAAUAGAGGAAAUGGAAGUAGAUCCCGUCGGGCAGAAGCCUGAAUGACAUGAACCAGCCGCUGCCACAUCAGAAAAGGAAUGUUGACGUUCAAACUAUAUGCUUGCUCAGGGUGACCAAGUAGAUAUACCAGAACCAAACGAUCCCAAUGAAUCCUCUUUGUUCCAAUCGUUGGUUGCACAUUAUAGCUCAAAACCAAGGACAGUAGAUGAUACUCUGGUAGUAAGUCCUUGGACUCCACAUAAGCACGAUUAGUUUGCACUCCAGCCUUGCAGAUAGCUUCUACAACUAUAUCCCAGUGGGAUGAUGAUUGAAAUCCUCCUUAUGUAUAAAGAAGACCAGUAGUGUCCACGUUCAUCCUCAACAGCUCUCCAAUAGUAUGUGGGGUAACGAGGACCUUCUGCUGACGCAUGAAUGUCUCAAAUAGAAAAGUCCCGAUCUCCUCAUCUUCCACAAGUACCUUCCCAUUCAUAUAGAACUCACGAAUGAGUUCCACACAAAAUGGAGCGCGAGCAGGAACCCUAUCAACUGGCUCAAUAGGAACCCGCUGAAGUAGCCGCCCAAAGUCAGGAACGUCAUGUAUAAGAUCAUUGAAGUUGACAUAACGCUCUGC
rnacentral:lncRNA from 1 species